rnacentral:rRNA from 1 species
CCUACGGGUGGCAGCAGUGAGGAAUAUUGGGCAAUGCGCGUGAGCCUGACGCAGCGACGCCGCGUGAAGGAUGAAGGCCCUCUGGUUUGUAAGUUUCUUUUAUAGGGGAGAAAAGGCAGAUACGUGUUUCUUUAUGUAUGGACCCUAUGUAUAAACGUAGGCCAAGUCCGGUCCAGCCGCCGAGGUAAUACGGAAGGGUCGGGCGUUGAGCGGAUUUAAUGGGGUUAAAGGGUUCGUAGGCGGUUAUGUAAGGUAGCGGUGAAAGUCUGGGGCUCAACCAUAGAAUUGCCGGUGAAACUGGUUGACUUGAGUAUAUGAGAGGUAUGCGGAAUGCGUGGUGUAGCGGUGAAAUGCAUAGAUAUCACGCAGAACUCCGAUUGCGAAGGCAGCAUACUAGCUGAAAACUGACGCUGAAGUACGAAAGCGUGGGUAUCAAACAGGAUUAGAUACCCUAGUAGUC